GACGAACGCUGGCGGCGUGCUUAACACAUGCAAGUCGAACGGAAAGGCCCUGCUUUUGUGGGGUUCUCGAGUGGCGAACGGGUGAGUAACACGUGAGUAACCUGCCCUUGACUUUGGGAUAACUUCAGGAAACUGGGGCUAAUACCGGAUAUGAGCUCCUGCUGCAUGGUGGGGGUUGGAAAGUUUCGGCGGUUGUGGAUGGACUCGCGGCUUAUCAGCUUGUUGGUGGGGUAGUGGCUUACCAAGGCUUUGACGGGUAGCCGGCCUGGGAGGGGGACCGGCGACAUUGGGACUGAGAGAGGGAGCAGAAGCGUACGGGAGGCAGCAGGGGGGAAUAUGGCACAAUGGGCGGAAGUGUGAGGCAGAGACGCUGCGUGCGGGAAGACGGCCUUCGGGGUGAAAACAGCUGUCGCAGGUGACGAAGCGUGAGUGACGGUAAUGGGUAAAGAAGCACCGGCUAACUACGUG
rnacentral:rRNA from 1 species